CAGCCCCUCGAGUGGUGGGGAUGAUUAUUUGGCCUAAAGCGUCCGUAGCCGGCCGUGUAAGUCUCCCGUUAAAUCCAGCGUCUCAAGCGUUGGACUGCGGGAGAUACUGUACGGCUAGAGAGUGGGAGAGGUCAGCGGUAUUCUGGGGGUAGGGGCGAAAUCCUUUGAUCCCCGGAGGACCACCAGUGGCGAAGGCUGCUGACUAGAACACGUCUGACGGUCAGGGACAAAAGCUGGGGUAGCGAACCGGAUUAGAUACCCGAGUAGUCC
rnacentral:rRNA from 1 species